UCUGUCUGGGAUGUCUCAUAGGCAUCUCAGACGCCAAGUAGAAGUUUGGGAGCCACUUUAGCAGCUGUAUUCAGCCACUUCCAUUCCUCCUUUACUCCAAAAUAUACCUCAGGUCAGUCAAUUCCUGUAGGGAAAAUUCUGCCUUUUGUAAACAAAGUCUAGCUGUCACUGGACGGAGAAGCCAUGUCUCUGAUUCCAGAGACAAAGCCGUGCUCUUUGACAAGAUUUGUUUCACUGGAGACUCAAUGAUAACAAAAAAGAAGUAAACGCGGGUCAUGCUGUGACACAAGAUACCGGGUGGGCUUUUCUCUUUGAGGCCUGCGGACCCCGCCUCAUCCCGGCCUCCGCUUCUGUAUCCCCCUCAUAGGCAUUAUCUCAGCACUUGCCAAGCAGAGUAUGUGCCCAGUCUCCUUGCUUCCUCAAGUCUCCACCCAGACAGCUGGAGCUAAAGACUGGCUGACCAGAAGGAGCAUUUUAUGAACUUCGACCUUCCACCUAUUCUUCUGCAGGAAGAUAAAUAAAGAGGACUUCUAAGGAGGAGCAGCAGAGAGCCCGGGUGCUGUCUGUGGGGAGAACUUUGGGACAAAUAUGCUUCUCUGAUGUCCAUUAUCUCAUCUGCUUCCUGCAACAUCCCUGUCAGACGGAUAGGACGCAGGGUUUUAUCCCCAUUUUACAGAUGAAGAAGGACUGCAGACAUGCUACCCAUUCCCCUACCUCAAAUGUCAUCUUCUCCACGAAGCCUUCUUCGUCAACCCACACGAGGCCUCAAAGUUCUUUGUGGUGUCUCUCUUGUCUCACUUACUGUGUUCUGUGUUGUUUUAAUAACUCCUGGGUCCCAUGUCCCAUGUC